rnacentral:rRNA from 1 species
CCUACGGGAGGCAGCAGUGGGGAAUAUUGGACAAUGGGCGCAAGCCUGAUCCAGCCAUGCCGCGUGAGUGAUGAAGGCCUUAGGGUUGUAAAGCUCUUUUGUACGGGAAGAUAGUGACGGUACCGUAAGAAUAAGCCCCGGCUAACUUCGUGCCAGCAGCCGCGGUAAUACGAAGGGGGCUAGCGUUGCUCGGAAUCACUGGGCGUAAAGGGUGCGUAGGCGGGUUUUUAAGUCAGAGGUGAAAUCCUGGAGCUCAACUCCAGAACUGCCUUUGAUACUGAAAGUCUUGAGUAUGGGAGAGGUGAGUGGAACUGCGAGUGUAGAGGUGAAAUUCGUAGAUAUUCGCAAGAACACCAGUGGCGAAGGCGGCUCACUGGCCCAUUACUGACGCUGAGGCACGAAAGCGUGGGGAGCAAACAGGAUUAGAUACCCUGGUAGUCCACGACGUAACGAUAGAUAGCACGCGUAGUGGUUACGUCACUAGUGCGC